CAUCAGCUUGAAAGGAAUGUAAAUGAAUAUAUCCUUAAUGCUCAGUGCUGUUUGCCAGCAAAGACAAGUCUAGGAGAGAUGUAUUCCCACUGAACUCCCAGAGUUACAGCAGUCCUGACACCAAGUUCUGUAAUGUUGUGCUGUUGCAAGGAACAAAGUCAUCUCGUUGGGGAUCAGUUAAUCUUUCUGGCUCUGCUUUGUACUGCUAAUGAUUCCAUGGCUACAUCUUUACCUUUAUAUAUAUAUAUAUAUAUUUUACAUCUCAGUGAUUGCCAUGCCUUUAUGUAAGACUACAUGGAAUAUACAGAGACACGAAUUAUGCAGAACACCGCUCAGCUGGCAGCAUGCGUGUCCAGAGCACGAUCACACCGAAAUAAGUCGAUGUGUAGCGAGCACGGAGUAAUGCCGAUCUCCUCUGUCAAAUAACGAAGUAAUUGUGCAUGUGUUUGUGCGGAAAAGACGAAAUUCCAGCUUGCGUGUGUGCAGGCAGCGGAGCCGGGGCUGGGCGGCUCGGCGCCAUGGCAACGAGGCCUGCAAGCGGAGCGGGAAUACCCGAGCACCGCGGGCCUCGCCGUCUUCUGCGUGUGCUGCUCCCAAAGGCAUCGUGACCCCAGCCCAAGCCAGGCUGCUGGCAUUCCCCGUCCCAACGGGGACGUUCCCCUGGUGCUUGUGGAGUCAGUUAAUGGGAGAGUUUUGUUUGUUAAAGAGGAGAGGUAAAAGUGCACGGAGAUUGCUUCUCCUUUAUGACUGCCCACGGUCCUCAACUGCCUUCCGUUGUCACCAUCAAAUAUUUAGAAACACCUGAAAUUGAUAUUGUUAAUGGUGGGCUUCUCCCUGGCUCCUUCUGCAGCCGGGCCCAGCCCCACAUGGCCCCGACACCCCCCAGCAGGGAUCCGGGGAGCCAGGAGCCGAGAGGAGGCAGCCUGCCGGAGCCUGGCGCUGAGGGGGUGUUGCUGACACAUCUUCUGGGCCGAGUGCUGGCUGUCGCAGAGGAAAAUGUGAAUCAUCCGAGCCCUGGCAGCCCGGCACCGAGCGCUGCCAGCCAGCAGCACGCGGGCUGUGGCCCCCUCUGAUCUCACAGGUGUGGGGCUGCGUGGAGAUCUCUGAAAAAUGAAGAAUUAAGUGAAAAUGGACUUUCUUCUGGCUCUUGGAUUUUGUACCUCGCUGCUCUUUUCUCCACACUUUGCUGCUGACAGCUGCUAGCUAAAUAAUAGCAUGAGGUACUCAUUUAAAAUGUGACGUAUGAACACUUUUUAAAUUAAAAUCAUUCUGAAUUAAUUUAUAUAUGUAUAUAUGUCAUGCAUUUGGACAAUCUGAAGACAUGAAAACCUUUUUAGCAACAAUGAUUUUAAAUUAAAAACAAUAUUGAAAUACUUGAAGUUGAAUAAGUAUCAUUAUCUUGUAUACCUAGUUUUUCCUCCGUUCUCAUGUUCUGUCCUUCUUCAAGGUUAGGCAUUAAGUAUAUUUAUUUUUAUUUUGAAGAAAUUGAAGUACUUUGUUGAAAAAAAGAGUCUUAAACAUGUGCCACAGGUGAAUUGUGAGAGCUUUGUGGCUCACUGCAACUAUUCAUGUCAACAAAACCCUACUGUGUUUUCAGUUACAAGCUUCACCCGCUGUGAGAUUUGCAGACCCCUGAACAACUGUAUUUAUCACGACUCUUGUCACAGGCAUAAAGGUGUCUGGAAAAGACCCUCCGGAGAUUGAGGCCUUCGCUCUGGCACAUCGUCAGGACCAGUGUGAUCUUGGCCUUAGCCCAUUUUCAAACCAUCUUCAGAUUAGAGGUGAAGGAAAUAAUCCAAGGAAAAACAGGUUACUUUGAAGAUCACCCUCUUCUGAUUUAAAAAACAACAACUGUGAAGCAGAAUAAAACAGCCCUGACACUCCCGAGCUGUCUGACUUCACCACGCCAUCUCUUCUAAGCCUGAAACCUGCGUACUCCCCUCCAUCCUUCCCGGAAUAUACAUGAAGACCUCUAAUGAGUGAAGACAGAAAUGGCCUCACCUUUCCCUUUUGCUGACACAAGGACCCAUAAAAGAGAGACUUGGAAAAUAUAAAUUGUGGAUAAUGGGGUGAAGUCUCCCAAGGUAUCUGCUGCUCCACGUGUGUCAGAUAAGUGCCUUUCAGCCUGACGUGGGACUCGCUUCUCCUUCUGCCUCUGCUUCAGGGAUGACAUCUUCACAAGGAGCCUGUUACUUCUGCUGGCAGGGUCUGAUGCUGGGAUAGCUUGGCUUUAGGUUUGUAAUUUUACAUAUAUGGAAGUUUGUGAAAAUGUCUUAGUUUUUGCAAGCUCUUAUUUAAAUAACUGUUUUAAGCAGGUAAUUAGUUAUACGCAGCAUACCUUCCAAAAUGUGUUUUGUGUACCUCU